rnacentral:pre_miRNA from 1 species
UUGGUCAGUCAACAGCUUUGCUGUGUAGGUUGAGGAGCAUCUCAGUCAAUUUUCCUGUUUCUACGUACGGAUUCGUACAUAUUUUUUGAACAAUUAAAAUAUGUGUAUUCGUGCGUAGCAAUAGGGGGGUUUGGUGCAAUCAACGGCAUCGUAUAUUUUAUGUUGGUUGUAAUC